UGUACGGUGCCGAGUGGGUGUGUGCGGUGCCGUGCUGGCGCAGCCACUGCUCCAGUCGCUUGGCGACGUACUCACCACCGUUGUCGCUGUGCAGUGUGUGCACCCCUGCAUGGUUCGGGUGGCGGGCCUCCAGCUGUGUCACCAUGUCCUGCAGCACUUCGCCCAUUGGCUCUUGCUGGCCAGCAUGCGGACGGCGGACAGACCAGUGGCACCAUCCAGCAGCGUCAGCAAGUAGCGUGCCCCCCCUCGGCCCGUG
rnacentral:lncRNA from 1 species